GCUGGGCAGGGUGGUGCAUGCCUGUAAUCCCAUUGGCUCAGGAGGCUAAGGCAGGAAAAUUGAGAGUUCAAAGCCAGCCUUAG
rnacentral:sRNA from 1 species